rnacentral:precursor_RNA from 15 species
GUGAAAAAUCGAAAUUUCUAGAUCAUUUUUCGGACGGUAUAUGGGUUAAUAUUUCAUUUGUCGAAUAUAUUGCACAUUCACCGGCCUGAAAAUAUCAAGAAUUAACAUCGAAAAGUGAA